rnacentral:tRNA from 1 species
GCAAAGUCAGCUAAUAAAGCUAUUGGGCCCAUACCCCAAAAAUGUUGGUUACAACCCCUCCUAUGCUA